rnacentral:rRNA from 1 species
AAUGAACGCUGGCGGCGUGCCUUAUACAUGCAAGUCGAGCGAACGGACGAGAAGCUUGCUUCUCUGAUGUUAGCGGCGGACGGGUGAGUAACACGUGGAUAACCUACCUAUAAGACUGGGAUAACUUCGGGAAACCGGAGCUAAUACCGGAUAAUAUUUUGAACCGCAUGGUUCAAAAGUGAAAGACGGUCUUGCUGUCACUUAUAGAUGGAUCCGCGCUGCAUUAGCUAGUUGGUAAGGUAACGGCUUACCAAGGCAACGAUGCAUAGCCGACCUGAGAGGGUGAUCGGCCACACUGGAACUGAGACACGGUCCAGACUCCUACGGGAGGCAGCAGUAGGGAAUCUUCCGCAAUGGGCGAAAGCCUGACGGAGCAACGCCGCGUGAGUGAUGAAGGUCUUCGGAUCGUAAAACUCUGUUAUUAGGGAAGAACAUAUGUGUAAGUAACUGUGCACAUCUUGACGGUACCUAAUCAGAAAGCCACGGCUAACUACGUGCCAGCAGCCGCGGUAAUACGUAGGUGGCAAGCGUUAUCCGGAAUUAUUGGGCGUAAAGCGCGCGUAGGCGGUUUUUUAAGUCUGAUGUGAAAGCCCACGGCUCAACCGUGGAGGGUCAUUGGAAACUGGAAAACUUGAGUGCAGAAGAGGAAAGUGGAAUUCCAUGUGUAGCGGUGAAAUGCGCAGAGAUAUGGAGGAACACCAGUGGCGAAGGCGACUUUCUGGUCUGUAACUGACGCUGAUGUGCGAAAGCGUGGGGAUCAAACAGGAUUAGAUACCCUGGUAGUCCACGCCGUAAACGAUGAGUGCUAAGUGUUAGGGGGUUUCCGCCCCUUAGUGCUGCAGCUAACGCAUUAAGCACUCCGCCUGGGGAGUACGACC